CCGAUAACGAACGAGACCUCAGCCUGCUAACUAGCUACGCGGAGGUUCCCCUUCGCGGCCAGCUUCUUAGAGGGACUAUGGCCGUUUAGGCCAUGGAAGUUUGAGGCAAUAACAGGUCUGUGAUGCCCUUAGAUGUCCUGGGCCGCACGCGCGCUACACUGACACCUGCAACGAGCGUAGAACCUUGGCCGAGAGGCCUGGGUAAUCUUUGGAACGGGUGUCGUGAUAGGGACAGAUUAUUGCAAUUAUUAAUCUCGAACGAGGAAUUCCUAGUAAACGCGAAUCAUCAGUUCGCAUUGAUUACGUCCCUGCCCUUUGUACACACCGCCCGUCGCACCUACCGAUUGAAUGAUUCGGUGAAGAUUCGGGACUGUGCCUGCGCUGCGCAAGCAGCUCUGGCGUGGGAACUUAUCUAAACCUCAUCAUUUAGAGGAAGGUGAAGUCGUAACAAGGUUUCCG
rnacentral:rRNA from 1 species